rnacentral:rRNA from 1 species
UACGUAGGGGGCUAGCGUUAUCCGGAAUUACUGGGCGUAAAGGGUGCGUAGGUGGUUUCUUAAGUCAGAGGUGAAAGGCUACGGCUCAACCGUAGUAAGCCUUUGAAACUGGGAAACUUGAGUGCAGGAGAGGAGAGUGGAAUUCCUAGUGUAGCGGUGAAAUGCGUAGAUAUUAGGAGGAACACCAAUUGCGAAGGCGGCUCUCUGGACUGUAACUGACACUGAGGCACGAAAGCGUGGGGAGCAAACAGG